CAGAUCUUCCCACUAGUUUUGCUUACAGUUACACAAUAAAGUCAGUGACUGACUACAUGGUGUUUCAUAACACUCUAAGUUCAUUUCAAAACCAAAGCUUCUGCUUUGUGAUGGAACUAGAGAGCUGAGAGGCCUAAACCUCUGUUUGCUCUCUCUCCUUUUUUGGUGCAGAUCUUGAACUUGAGCUGCAUUGUCAUAGAAAAUCUGCACCAAGAAAUGAAACAUACCAUGUUACCUGCCAUUGGAUCUGUUGUCCCUCGUGGUGCCUUUGCAGCAGUCUUGCUCCUGUUACUGUUUUCUUUCUCCACUUUCUCUUCUACAGAAGCCUAUGAUCCGCUUGAUCCAACCGGAAAUAUAACAAUCAAAUGGGAUGUCAUUAGCUGGACCCCAGAUGGCUAUGUUGCUGUUGUGACAAUGUACAACUUUCAACAAUAUCGCCACAUUCAGGCCCCCGGAUGGUCAUUAGGGUGGACAUGGGCUAAAAAGGAAGUGAUUUGGAGCAUGAUGGGAGCGCAAACCACAGAGCAAGGGGACUGUUCAAAGUUCAAAGCAGGCAUUCCACAUUGUUGUAAGAAGGACCCUACAGUUGUGGAUUUGCUGCCAGGAACUCCUUACAACCAGCAGAUUGCAAAUUGUUGCAAAGGGGGUGUCCUAAAUUCAUGGGGUCAGGACGCCAGCACUGCAGUAAGUUCUUUCCAGGUUAGUGUUGGUUCUGCCGGAACAACAAAUAGAACGGUCAAAAUGCCUAAAAAUUUCACCCUCAAAGCACCGGGACCUGGCUAUACUUGUGGUCCUGCCAAAGUUGGAAAACCAACUGUAUUUAUUACCAAUGACAAGAGGAGAACCACUCAAGCCAUGAUGACCUGGAAUAUUACCUGCACUUAUUCUCAAUUCCUGGCUCAAAAGACACCAAGUUGCUGUGUUUCCCUCUCAUCCUUCUAUAAUGACACCGUUGUAAACUGCCCAACCUGCACCUGUGGUUGCCGAAACAAAACAGAACCUGGCAGCUGUGUAGAUCCAAAUUCCCCACAUUUAGAUUCAGUUGUAUCAUCAUCUGGCAAAGCUGCAAACACGCCUCUAGUCCAGUGUACAAGCCAUAUGUGUCCUAUUCGAGUGCAUUGGCAUGUGAAGCUAAAUUACAAAGAGUACUGGAGGGUCAAGAUCACAAUCACAAAUUUCAAUUACAGAAUGAACUAUUCACAAUGGAACCUUGUUGUGCAGCAUCCUAAUUUAGAUAAUAUUACCCAGCUCUUCAGUUUUAAUUACAAGUCACUAACACCCUAUGAGGGCUUGAAUGAUACAAGUAUGCUGUGGGGAGUCAAGUUCUACAAUGAUUUUCUUUCUUCAGCUGGAUCUCUUGGUAAUGUUCAGUCAGAAAUCUUACUUAGAAAAGACAAAUCAACCUUCACAUUUGAUAAGGGAUGGGCCUUCCCUAGAAGGAUUUAUUUCAAUGGGGAUAACUGUGUUAUGCCUCCUCCAGAUGCCUACCCCUGGCUUCCAAAUGCAAGUUCUAAACUAGUUUUCUCUUUACUAAGUACAGUCAUAGUCACUUUAGCUUCUUUGUUAAUCUUAUUGAAUCAAUCAUAGAGAUACCAUCUACUCUUUUGGAGUAGUGUACCUUUCUCUUCUGCACAAGCUUUUUAAAGCUGAAGUCAACCCCAUUGUCAGGAAUGCAUAGAAGCUGUCACUGAAGCAAUAAAAAGUGUCACAGAUGCAUAAAUGCAUGCCACAAGAAUUCUGUCCUUUAUCAUCCUGGGGAUAGAAUUUUACCCCCCAUGUAACACAUCUUUUUAGCCUGAGUUGUAUAAUUAUUUUAAGUCACUCGAUUGGAUGAUUAUAUUUUUAAGCUUAUAGAAUAUCCAAUUUGAUUGUUUUAUCCUUGAAAUCAUGAAUCCAAGAAAUUCUAGGUAGCACUUGCUGCUUUUGAAGUCA